rnacentral:rRNA from 1 species
AAGAACCUUACCUGGUCUUGACAUCCACAGAACUUUCCAGAGAUGGAUUGGUGCCUUCGGGAACUGUGAGACAGGUGCUGCAUGGCUGUCGUCAGCUCGUGUUGUGAAAUGUUGGGUUAAGUCCCGCAACGAGCGCAACCCUUAUCCUUUGUUGCCAGCGAUUAGGUCGGGAACUCAAAGGAGACUGCCAGUGAUAAACUGGAGGAAGGUGGGGAUGACGUCAAGUCAUCAUGGCCCUUACGACCAGGGCUACACACGUGCUACAAUGGCGCAUACAAAGAGAAGCGACCUCGCGAGAGCAAGCGGACCUCAUAAAGUGCGUCGUAGUCCGGAUUGGAGUCUGCAACUCGACUCCAUGAAGUCGGAAUCGCUAGUAAUCGUGGAUCAGAAUGCCACGGUGAAUACGUUCCCGGGCCUUGUACACACCGCCCGUCACACCAUGGGAGUGGGUUGCAAAAGAAGUAGGUAGCUUAACCUUCGGGAGGGCGCUUACCACUUUGUGAUUCAUGACUGGGGUGAAGUCGUAACAAGGUAACCGUAGGGGAACCUGC